GACGAACGCUGGCGGCGUGCUUAACACAUGCAAGUCGAACGGUGAAGCGCCUUCCUUUUUGGUGGGUGUGGAUGAGUGGCGAACGGGUGAGUAACACGUGAGUAACCUGCCCCCUUCUUCUGGAUAACCGCAUGAAAGUGUGGCUAAUACGGGAUAUUCUGGGUCUGUCGCAUGAUGGGUCUGGGAAAGAUAUUGUUUCGGUGGGGGAUGGGCUCGCGGCCUAUCAGCUUGUUGGUGGGGUGAUGGCCUACCAAGGCGGUGACGGGUAGCCGGCCUGAGAGGGUGGGCGGUCACACUGGGACGGAGACGCGGCCCAGACUCCUACGGGAGGCAGCAGUGGGGAAUAUUGCACAAUGGGCGCCAGCCUGAUGCAGCGACGCCGCGGGAGGGAUGGAGGCCUUCGGGUUGUGAACCUCUUUCGCCAGUGAAGCAGGCCUGCCUCGUUUGUGGGUGGGUUGACGGUAGCUGGAUAAGAAGCGCCGGCUAACUACGUG
rnacentral:rRNA from 1 species